UCCUUUGAGAGUUUAGACAUUCAUGGAGGAGUACAUUGAGUAAAUUUCUAGCAAUUUCAGACAAGGUAUAUAUAGGUGUAUGAUCAUCGAAUAUAUAUAUAUAAAAGAUUUUAGAAAAUUUCAAGAUACCCAUAUUUAUCACUUAAACAUAUAACAAGAAAAAAAAAAGGUGAAUAAUGAUUCAGUAAGCAAUUUAUGUAAGAAAACUUACACCAAAGAAAUGGAAGGUAGCUUUUGCAUACCUGUGAAGAACUACGCACAAAUUAACGAUGAACAAAGAAAUUGAAGGGUAUCUUGUCACAAGGCGACGGCACUAAGCUAAGCUAAGGGGAGGAAAAGCAAAGCAUAUAUAAAACCCUCAGUGCCAUCUCUCCUGCGACAAGAUUCCCCCAAUCUCCUCUUUAUUUCCUUUGGAUUUCUAGCUUUCG
rnacentral:lncRNA from 1 species